rnacentral:misc_RNA from 1 species
GGAAGUAAAAGUCGUAACCAAGGUUUCCGUAGGUGAACCUGCGGAAGGAUCAUUAUAGUAAUAGGCCCCUUGUGGGUCUAAUUUGAGCUGUGCGCCUUUUUGGCUUGCACGCUCAAAAACACGUGAUUCUCACACCUGUGCACAUUUCAGAUGUGGUGACGCAUCUGCCCUUUUUUAUACAAACACAAAAGUUUAUGAAUGUCAUUUUCAAUAUGAAAAAUACAACUUUCAACAACGGAUCUCUUGGCUCUC